rnacentral:rRNA from 1 species
CUACGGGACGCAGCAGUGAGGAAUAUUGCACAAUGGGGGGAACCCUGAUGCAGCAACGCCGCGUGGAGGAUGACGCAUUUCGGUGUGUAAACUCUUUUUAUAUGUCAAGAAAAUGACGGUAGCAUAUGAAUAAGCACCGGCUAACUCCGUGCCAGCAGCCGCGGUAAUACGGAGGGUGCAAGCGUUACUCGGAAUCACUGGGCGUAAAGGACGCGUAGGCGGGUUGGAAAGUCAGGUGUGAAAUCCUACAGCUUAACUGUAGAACUGCACUUGAAACUUCUAAUCUAGAGUAUGGGAGGGGGAGAUGGAAUUAGUGGUGUAGGGGUAAAAUCCGUAGAUAUCACUGGGAAUACCUAAAGCGAAGGCGAUCUCCUGGAACAUUACUGACGCUAAGGCGUGAAAGCGUGGGGAGCAAACAGGAUUAGAUACCCGGGUAGUC